CCCUUAGAUGUUCUGGGCCGCACGCGCGCUACACUGACAGAGCCAACGAGUUCUUCACCUUGGCCGGAAGGUCUGGGUAAUCUUGUUAAACUCUGUCGUGCUGGGGAUAGGGCAUUGCAAUUAUUGCUCUUCAACGAGGAAUGCCUAGUAAGCGCGUGUCAUCAGCACGCGUUGAUUACGUCCCUGCCCUUUGUACACACCGCCCGUCGCUACUACCGAUUGAAUGGCUCAGUGAGGCCUUCGGACUGGCUCAGGGAGGUUGGCAACGACCACCCCGAGCCGGAAAGUUCGUCAAACUCGGUCAUUUAGAGGAAGUAAAAGUCGUAACA
rnacentral:rRNA from 1 species